UUUGACUCAUAGCAAAAUCAUCGAAAGGUGAUGACGCAAAGCUAUAGGGGCUAACCAUGCCAGCCAGCUGCCAAA
rfam:Bacillus marisflavi strain JCM 11544 scaffold3, whole genome shotgun sequence.